rnacentral:lncRNA from 1 species
CUUGCUCAUCUAUUCCAACAAAAAAUAAUGCCACACUUGCUUCCCAAAGCUUUGAUCUCUUCGAUGGUAAGGGAGAUUUAGUAGAGAAUGUCAUCUUUUUUCAGCUUUGACUCCUUCAUUUCUAAGACCUUGUAUAUUUUCACUCUCAAAUGAGCAUUCUUUCUUAGUCUUAGGAGUUCAAGACUUGAGUUAUCUGUUAUUCCACAAGUUACUCUUGCUUUGUGAGGCUUUGCUGUCCCUCUUAAUUGGUAUGACCGAUAAGAUGGAUUGGAGAGCUUGAUCGACCGGCACAGAAGGAGUGAUGGAGUGGCUAUAUGAUGGUUUGACAAGCAAGGGAUUCAAAUCCAUCAUGUUAAUAGGAGCUAGGAGGGGGAGC